rnacentral:rRNA from 1 species
GAUGAACGCUGGCGGCGUGCCUAAUACAUGCAAGUCGAGCGAACAGACGAGGAGCUUGCUCCUCUGACGUUAGCGGCGGACGGGUGAGUAACACGUGGAUAACCUACCUAUAAGACUGGGAUAACUACGGGAAACCGGAGCUAAUACCGGAUAAUAUAUUGAACCGCAUGGUUCAAUAGUGAAAGACGGUUUUGCUGUCACUAAUAGAUGGAUCCGCGCCGCAUUAGCUAGUUGGUAAGGUAACGGCUUACCAAGGCAACGAUGCGUAGCCGACCUGAGAGGGUGAUCGGCCACACUGGAACUGAGACACGGUCCAGACUCCUACGGGAGGCAGCAGUAGGGAAUCUUCCGCAAUGGGCGAAAGCCUGACGGAGCAACGCCGCGUGAGUGAUGAAGGUCUUCGGAUCGUAAAACUCUGUUAUUAGGGAAGAACAAAUGUGUAAGUAACUAUGCACGUCUUGACGGUACCUAAUCAGAAAGCCACGGCUAACUACGUG